UCCGGUUUAUCACCGGCAGUCUUUGCAGAGUCCCUUCGCUUACGCGUUGGUACCACGUGCAUGUCAAGCCGAGGUAAGGUUCUGCGCGUUGCAUCGAAUUAAACCACACGCUCCGCUGCUUGUGCGGGCCCCCGUCAAUUCCUUUGAGUUUUAGCCUUGCGGCCGUAGUCCCCAGGCGGUCGACUUAAUGCGUUAGCUGCGGCGCCGAGGGGGUCGAUACCCCCGACACCUAGUCGACAUCGUUUACGGCGUGGACUAC
rnacentral:misc_RNA from 1 species